rnacentral:rRNA from 1 species
AUUGAACGCUGGCGGCAUGCCUUACACAUGCAAGUCGAACGGCAGCAUGGAGAGCCUGCUCUCUGAUGGCGAGUGGCGAACGGGUGAGUAAUGCAUCGGAACGUACCGUGUAAUGGGGGAUAACGUAGCGAAAGUUACGCUAAUACCGCAUACGACCUGAGGGUGAAAGCAGGGGAUCGCAAGACCUUGCGUUAUACGAGCGGCCGAUGUCAGAUUAGCUAGUUGGUGAGGUAAAGGCUCACCAAGGCGACGAUCUGUAGCGGGUCUGAGAGGAUGAUCCGCCACACUGGGACUGAAACACGGCCCAGACUCCUACGGGAGGCAGCAGUGGGGAAUUUUGGACAAUGGGGGCAACCCUGAUCCAGCCAUGCCGCGUGAGUGAAGAAGGCCUUCGGGUUGUAAAGCUCUUUCGGCCGGGAAGAAAUCGCACAGGCUAAUACUCUGUGUGGAUGACGGUACCGGCAUAAGAAGCACCGGCUAACUACGUGCCAGCAGCCGCGGUAA